UACGUAGGGGGGCUAGCGUUGUCCGGAAUCAUUGGGCGUAAAGCGCGUGUAGGCGGCCCCGGUAAGUCCGCUGUGAAAGUCGGGGGCUCAACCCUCGGAUGCCGGUGGAUACUGUCGGGCUCGAGUACGGAAGAGGCGAGUGGAAUUCCACGUGUAGCAGUGAAAUGCGUAGAGAUGUGGAGGAAUACCGAUGGCGAAGGCAGCCCCCUAGGCCAAUACUGACGCUGAGGAGCGAAAGCGUGGGGAGCAAAACAGG
rnacentral:rRNA from 1 species